UGUUUGCAAACAACCUGUCUUUAGCUGAAAAAUGAGUUUCAUGGAGAAAGCUAGAGAAUGAACAUGGAAAAGCAGAAUAGAAAAAUUCUGGAAAAUAAGAAGCAGUAUUGCUCUUCCUUUCAUUACUCUUGUCUGCUUCUGGCAAUUAGAUUAAGUAAACCUAAACGACAAGACAGGAGGAAGAAAAUACAUCCAAAAUUCAUACUUACAUUAAAAGAACAAUACCCUGAAAGGGAAAUCAUGCCAAAAGUUGCAUCUGUGCCUUUUGCAAGAUGAUGAUAAAAAAGCAAAAGAAAUCUCUCCAUUUUCAAGAUAGCUUCAAAAAGAAAGCAACCAGACAUGGAACUACCUCCCACACUUCACUGCCAGUGGCUCUUGCAUGUGAUGUCCUUGGAUACCCAAAAGAUUAGCCAGUCUCAUCCACCUGGCCCAUGUCACAGGGAUCAAGGACAUUUCUCCAUCUACAAACUUAAGCUCAUGCUCUCUGAAAGUGAAGAGAACAAAUUGAAAGUUAGAGUCUGAGAAGACUAAUAGGGACAUCUCAUUCUUGAUGGGGGCAACAGUCCUCUCAUAUGGCAAUGCAUUAUGAGCCACAAAGAAGAGUUGAACUUCAGCUAUCAGCCUGCACCCUAGGACCAUUACUGACCACUACAGCUGCAUCACUUGCACCCUGGCACAUUUUGACAUCCAGGAGAACUCAAUACUUCUGCUAUAAAGAAUGUGGACAUGAAGACCAGCUUGUAUAUUUGUGUCCCUGAAUGUCUUCCACUUGAGGAAAAACUUGUGUGCUAUUGGAUAAGGUCCUGAAACAAUUUAAAUGCAUCACCAGCAGGAAAAACCCGUCAUGAAGUGGGAGAAAGUCUUCUUGAACAUUAUUCAUUUGAAUGAUGGACCUGUGUAGAAGCAGAUAUUGAGAUGAUGCAGCUGACGUGUGACAGAGUACCAAAUGGACGUCCUUAGAGAAGUCAGUUCUAACUUCCCUAAGUCAUCACUACUCUCUUAGUAGGCCAUAUUUUUUAGGGAAUCACUCAGCAUGUGUAUCAGCUUUCCCAGACCUAAAUUCUUUUAGGCUGCAUAUUUCUUUUGGAGUGAAAAUUUGAGACACUGUAGCCCAUGAAUUGCUGUGAAGACAUUGAAGCCACAUUCCUCACUUUUAAGGGACUGGUGUGGUGGCAUACAGGAGUCUAAUGUUCCAUGCCAUUUAUGAUUUUCCACUUUAUUGAAGAAAUAAUUCUGUUUGUAGUUUUAUGAACUUGCAAUCUUGAAUACACAGCACUGCAGGUCACUAUUUUGUCUAUAGGCUGUUCCAUCUUAAGUGAAGAAACACUAUAUGUUGUUAAAACCCUGAUCUCCAAGAGUUUGUAAAAAAAAAAUAACGAUGUUUGACUGAAAAUGUAAUUUUUAAAAGUUGAACAUUUAUUAUUAAAGUUUCUUA